GUGGCCGGCGCGCUCGGCCUGCCCAGCGUCUACUCCCACAUCGGCGUGGAGCUGGCGCUCGACCACAAGCUCUCGCCGUUCCUCAAGGACGUCUUCGACCUCGCGUGCUACCACAACCUAGAGGCGCACCUCCACCUUCUCGACGGCUACCAGGGCCGCGGCAAGGAGUUCAAGCUCGGGGGCAGGGAUCCCGCGCUCGUCAACAAGGCCGCCGACUUCCUCAUGGACGAGCACAUGGUGCCCGACGGGUGGCGCCAGGAGUUGAACAAGGGCAUGGUCAGGACCGAGGACGGGCGGUGGAUGCUGCCGCAUCGCCCCAGGAAUGUUGAGGAACACCCGGAAGACACCGAUCUCCACCUCGCCGAGCUCGGCCUUGCCGCCGCCGUCACCGCCAAGGCCACCGCUGCCGCCACCGCCAACGUCUGACUGAUCGUUCCAUCAUGGGCUGGCCGGACAUGCACGUGUCCAUUCAUCAUCACUAUAUUGCAUUGCAAGUAUAUAUAUAGUUGCGAUGAAUACACUAGUUAGUUACGAUCGAGUUACCCUACUAUAUCUUAGAAAAUGGAGUAGCCUUAAUGGAAAUUAUACGUGGAUCACCAAAUAAUUGAUCUUAUGGUGAAUUAUUAUUGUAUUGUAUGACAAUAAAAAUUAAGACAAAGGGC
rnacentral:lncRNA from 1 species